rnacentral:misc_RNA from 1 species
AUGACAUGAUGCAGUAGCUAUUAUACCCACACGCAGCACUACGCAAAACAGACGAACCAUUGACUACGUCAGAACAAAUAUUUUCAGGGAUGCAUUGCACGAUUGACCAGUUUUGCUCACCAUUGGUGCCCCUGGGAUAGGCAUACUGUGUGAAGACUCCAUUAUAAUCGAUUGUUGCUCGAUAGUAGAGUCUAGCCACGCUAGGUGAU